AUUGAACGCUGGCGGCAGGCUUAACACAUGCAAGUCGAGCGGGGGAGGUUGCUUCGGUAACUGACCUAGCGGCGGACGGGUGAGUAAUGCUUAGGAAUCUGCCAUUUAGUGGGGGACAACAUUCCGAAAGGAAUGCUAAUACCGCAUACGUCCUACGGGAGAAAGCAGGGGAUCUUCGGACCUUGCGCUAAAUGAUGAGCCUAAGUCGGAUUAGCUAGUUGGUGGGGUAAAGGCCUACCAAGGCGACGAUCUGUAGCGGGUCUGAGAGGAUGAUCCGCCACACUGGGACUGAGACACGGCCCAGACUCCUACGGGAGGCAGCAGUGGGGAAUAUUGGACAAUGGGCGGAAGCCUGAUCCAGCCAUGCCGCGUGUGUGGAGAAGGCCUUAUGGUUGUAAAGCACUUUAAGCGAGGAGGAGGCUACCUAGAUUAAUACUCUAGGAUAGUGGACGUUACUCGCAGAAUAAGCACCGGCUAACUCUGUGCCAGCAGCCGCAGUAACAC
rnacentral:rRNA from 1 species